rnacentral:lncRNA from 1 species
GUCCCGAUCUCCUGCCUGCUGGAGCCUGUGAGGAUGACCAUGAUGACGAAGAGCUGCAGGUGACCCUGAUUCAGGCUGCUCCUGGGAGACGAGCUCCAGGCGGAGAGCCAGUGGACUCCUCCUAUCGGGGCUCCAGGGGGUGACCCUCAGGGCUGUGUCCUGACCUCCUGCUGUCUCUCGCCUACAAGAACCUGCUCAGUGUGCUGUUGACACUACACUCUCGAACCCGAGUCCAACACCAGCCUCCAGCAUGAGCACAAGGUCAGGUGAACGCUGGGCUGAAGACAGAUGACCAGGCACAGAGAGACUGCUGCCCUCAGACACACAAACCAGCUGUCACAGCUGUGUAGCCUACAGCAGCGUGUCCUGGGAUGGAGGCUGGCCAGAGGCUGCCAGUGGGAAGACGGGUAUGGAUGA